rnacentral:rRNA from 1 species
AUACGGAGGGUCCGAGCGUUAAUCGGAAUUACUGGGCGUAAAGCGCGCGUAGGCGGCUAUAUAAGUCAGAUGUGAAAUCCCUGGGCUCAACCUAGGAACUGCAUUUGAAACUGUAUGGCUAGAGUAUGAUAGAGGUGAGUGGAAUUUCAGGUGUAGCGGUGAAAUGCGUAGAGAUCUGAAGGAACAUCAGUGGCGAAGGCGACUCACUGGGCCAUUACUGACGCUGAGGUGCGAAAGCGUGGGUAGCAAACAGAAUUAGAAACCCUUGUAGUCC